UUGGGCUUGUGUAGGGCAACACCGAUAUCAGUCCUCGAUCCAGCUCGCUCCUACUGGACCUCUCCACCUCAAUCAUCCAUCCGAGUCCUCUCCACCUAUGGAGACACCUUAGGUAGGUGCUCCACCUGAAUGUCAUGUCCUCCCAUAGUACCUGCAAGAGGCAAAAUAAAAGAGGUAAGCUGUCCAGCAGCGCCCUGCUGGACCUCCUCCUGCUCCUGCUGCUCCUCCAUGCCUGCUCGCCUCUGUAGGACUGACUCCUUGUCAAAAGUCACAUCCCGACUAAUGA
rnacentral:lncRNA from 1 species